CUAGUGCCCAGGCUCUGAUGUUAACCCCCAAGUACCAAUCCAGCCUUCGACCUUAAAAUAAUUGGAAUGAAGUACUAGUAGGCCCGUUGGAAGGAACUCGAAAAGGAAUCUGGUGUCGACCCCAAAGUACCGAUCCAGACUUCGACGCCACUACAAUGUGAAUGAAUGCACGGAUGUUGACAACUACAUCGACGACGACGAUGGCCAUGGAACUCCUCCAUACCCAGGCGGCCAAGUUAGCGAUGAUAGCGGGGCGAUGGAUACGUUGAUGACUACGGGAGGACUUGUCUGAUCAGCCAACUAGGGAACACUUCGGAAUGUCGUAACAUUCAAAUCUAACAUCCAAUUUUGAUAUCUUGAGUCCGAGUUAGGCUUGUUUGCAAGCAGCUUUUCUCAAGUUGUUAAAUUCAACUCGGUAAUGGGUGUAUAUAAAUACAUAUAAGCUUUCAAUUAGCUAGGCUUGAAAAUCAUUGACAUUCCGGGUAGUCGAUAGAUAAUUUUGGUGGGCGAGCUGGGGGUUAUGCUUUCAUUUUUAAAACAAAUUUAAACAGAUGUACGUUAUGAGAUGGCGCUUACAUAGUAUUUUGUCAAUAAGACAAAUAUCUUGUCAUUUAAAAGAAUAUAUUUUUUCCCACAUGAACCUCCUUCUUUACGUAAUUAAUAAAAUAGAAUUAAGUACCGUCUUAUCCAGUAUCGACUCAUUGUAGAUUGUGUCGAUUAGCCUACAAACUUUUCGAUGAUGCCGACAAUACAAUGGGUGAUUUCAAGUUCGGUGUCGGUGUUAUAGUGUUGGAGUGGAGGCACAUUUUGGAUUGCGUUUCCGAGCUCCAAAACCUAUUCUGAUUUUAAAACAAAUAAUCCAGAUCACAGUAUUGACAGCUCAACACCUAUAGUGCGUAUGACUUUUCAGGACCAUCUUCGUUUUAUGUUUAUUUUUAUACUCAGGUAAAAUUUACCUUACACCAACACCAAGAGGUCAACACUGAACUUUAAAUCACCCAUUGCAGUCUCUUACCAAUAUUAAUCAUGCCAAUUAAUUGCUCUAAUCCCAUUGCCCUUUUAUCCCUGAUAUAUUCUUAUUUGACUCGAUCUUCAAUGUUGAUAUUGAUAACAAGAAAACAAUAAUGUUAAUAAUGAUGAUAAGAUAAUGAACUUAUAUUGUCUUCUAUGAUCAUGAUAAGACGCGUAGUUACAUGUAUAAAGUAGGCAUACGUUUUUUUUUCAUUUUCUUUUCUAAUUUUCCCUUCUUUGGCCCAAGAGUAUAAACACAAAUUAAAGGACUCAAGCGUCAGUGCCAAAUGAAGGAUUAUGAUGGGAUGAAAAUAGAUUUGUGAAUGAUUUCAAGAGUUGUGUUUGAUUGUACCUCUUUCUGGAACGGACUCCUGAGUAAGAAUCUGCUGAAAUUGUGCAUGCAGAACAAAACAAAACAGGCAUUCAUAAAACUAUCAACGAUCCACUAAGGGGUGGCAACGAUCCACGAGAUAUGAUAUUAAGAAGGGAGUGGAAGAGGUCUAAAUUAGUCUCAAAUUGGUAACAUAGAAUUUAAGGACCAAUCCCGGGGGGCCAGUCAAAUGUAUUGCUGUACACAUGCGUGACCAAAUUAUUUCCAAACACCCCCCUAAACGAGUUUUUCGCGGGCUUCAUUGACACAUUUUGGCCCCUAAACAAGUUGUCGCCAGAAUAUGACCCCUAACCAAGUUUGUCUACUUGCUAACAAUAAGCUUAAAUAGACAAAACUAUAUUAAUUGGUAUUGCAUGCCCCCAGUGCAGUUAUGGUUAAAUUACCACAAAGGAAUAAAAUAUCUUAACACUGUAAAUAAGUGUCAUCCAAAAUCUUCUCCCCAAAUGUUAUUCCCUUUUUUUUUUUACUACUACUUGGUAUAUCAUGGACGGGACGGGGGGGGGGGUGAUUGCUCUGUUCCACUGAACAAAAAAAAUUCCCUUCGAUUCUUAUACACCUUGGCAAUUAACUUCUCCGAGCCGAACGUCAAAUUCCGAUUGAGGUUGCUUUUACGGUAAUUUCUAUCAAAUCAAAAGAUAAUGUAUAUGCAUUGGCAUAGCAACGCACAAGGCUCGUUGCAUAACAACUUGAAAGUGUUUUUAUUCUUCUAUUAAAGCCCGUGCAUUUAUGGCCACCAUAGGUUAUAUUGAUUUGGAGUCGAAAUUGCUUUCUCACUGUGUAUUAAUCGACAAUUUUUUUUUAAAGGGGGUUUUAAAGCAAGUCAUUUUUUUUGUGUUCAGAAUGUUAGUAGAUUUCACCAAUUUUGCCUUUGUAUCAUAUGAUGAUAUUUUUUAUUUUUACGAUGUAUUUUCAAGUCCAGUCAAAAUAAGCCAUAAAAAAUAAAAUGCAUGCUGUUUUACUUGGACCAUUCGCUGAUAAGCGAAUUGGUCGUCCGUUUGAAUGAUCCAUGAACAUUUUCAUGAAACAGAUAAUCAGUGAUUUUCACUGACAAUUGUAAUAAGCUACUGAAAUCCUUGCAUCUGAUUGGCUCAGAGCAAUUUUUUGAUGAAAAUUGUUGACAAAAUGCUUUAUGAAACACUCCCCAGAACAUAAUGUUUUAAAACCUCAAUAUUAGUGUCCAUCCAACCAAAAAGUUUAUUUGAAUUGCAUGAAAUAUACAAUAUUUCAAUAAUUAUUUUCCUAUUUAACAAUAGAGAAGCUCUUGAUCAAAUUACAACCACAAUAGCAAUUCCACAUGCUUCGAGAUGAAGCAAACUAUUUCACAAUUAUUAUAUGAAGAAAAAACAAGAUAUUCCAUAUAUAAAAUAUAUGUCAUAUCAUUGGUACCCUUACUUGCAUACUGACCAGGAUGUGCAUAUAACUUUUUUUUUCCAAUAAACCUAACUUCAAAUUUUAUAAUUAAUUCCUUCUUUUGCAACCGUUUUUCAAAAUGAAAUUUCCAAUGUUAUGCUCCUUUGAUUAUUUUCAUUUGAUUCAAACCAAUGUUUUAUUGGAAUGGACCUUCCUUUAAGAGUCACAUAGAUCUUAUAGAGAUAUACUACAAUCACUGCAAAAUAGCAUUCGUAAAUUGUUUUGAGUAUUCGGGUGCUUCAUUUAUCACAUUAUAGCAGGGGGUCGUUUCAUAAAUCUGUUCCUCAAUCGGUAAUUUUGACUGGACUUUUUUGUUAUUAAAUGACUUUGUCUGAUUUCGCCUCUGUGUAUUUAUUUGUU